AUCAACAAAGGAUAUUAUGUUUACAACAAAAGAUAGGAUUAGCAAAGUUAAAUAUGCCAUCACGGGCUUAAUACAAUCCAAUCGAAUAACCCGACCCGGUAAAUAUCUAAUCAGAGCAAUACUAUACAACCCAUCAAAAAGAUAUAUAACAUAUAUCUAAGGAGUAGUCUACGCUAACUCCUCACCAAAAAGUGUGCUACACCAAGCACGAGCAACGCCCUCUAACUCUGAUCGGNNNNNGGUCCAGCACAUAACACAAAGCAUGAGAGUUAGAUCACAUAAUCAAAAUACAAGUGCAAGUAAAUCGAUACUUAAACACUACUUCAACAACAUAAGCAUGCCUCACAAUUAUACAUAUACAUAUACAUACACAUAUAUUCACAUCUAUAAUCCAAUUAGAAGUUCUCAAAAACACAUAAUCGAAUACCAACUAUCAAGUAUCAAUUAGCAAAUACCACAAUAG
rnacentral:lncRNA from 1 species